rnacentral:rRNA from 1 species
UACGGAAGGCAGCAGUGGGGAAUAUUGCACAAUGGGCGAAAGCCUGAUGCAGCUAUGCCGCGUGUAUGAAGAAGGCCUUAGGGUUGUAAAGUACUUUCAUCGGGGAGGAAAAACAAAACUAAUAAUUUUAUUUCUUGACGUUACCCGAAAAAGAAGCACCGGCUAACUCCGUGCCAGCAGCCGCGGUAAUACGGAGGGUGCUAGCGUUAAUCAGAAUUACUGGGCGUAAAGAGCACGUAGGUGGUUUUUUUAAGUCAGAUGUGAAAUCCCUGGGCUUAACCUAGGAACUGCAUUUUGAAACUGAAAUACCCUAGAGUAUCGUAGAGGGAGGUAGAAUUCUAGGUGUAGCGGUGAAAUGCGUAGAUAUCUGGAGGAAUACCUGUGGCGAAAGCGGCCUCCUAAACGAAUACUGACACUGAGGUGCGAAAGCGUGGGGAGCAAACAGGGAUUAGAUACC